AUUGAACGCUGGCGGCAGGCCUAACACAUGCAAGUCGAGCGGAGCGGCGGACGGGUGGGUAAUGCCUAGGUAUCUGCCUUGUAGUGGGGGAUAGCGUCCGGAAACGGAAGCUAAUACCGCAUAGUAUCAGAUGAGCCUUGGUGUGAUUGUUUAUUGGGUGGGGUAAAGGCCUACAAAGGGGACGAUCCGUAACUGGUCUGAGAGGAUGAUCAGGCACACUGGAACUGAGACACGGUCAAGAUUCCUACGGGAGCCAGCAGAGGGGAAUAUUGGACAAUGGGCGAAAGCCUGCUCCAGCCAGGCCGCGUGUGUGAAGAAGGUCUUCGGAUGUUAAAGCCCGUUAAGUUGGGAGGCGUUACCAACAGAGUAAGCAACGGCUAACUUCGUGCCAGCAGCCGCGGUAAUUC
rnacentral:rRNA from 1 species